CAGCCGCCACGGGAAUACGAAGGGGGCUAGCGUUGCUCGGAAUUACUGGGCGUAAAGGGAGCGUAGGCGGAUGUCUAAGUCAGAGGUGAAAGCCCAGGGCUCAACCUUGGAACUGCCUUUGAUACUGGACAUCUUGAGUGUGGGAGAGGUAAACGGAACUCCGAGUGUAGAGGUGAAAUUCGUAGAUAUUCGGAGGAACACCAGUGGCGAAGGCGGCUUACUGGCCCAUUACUGACGCUGAGGCUCGAAAGCGUGGGGAGCAAACAGGAUUAGAUACCCCUGUAGUCCCUGUCUCUUAUAC
rnacentral:rRNA from 1 species